rnacentral:rRNA from 1 species
UGGGGAAUAUUGGACAAUGGGGGAAACCCUGAUCCAGCGACGCCGCGUGUGUGAAGAAGGCCUGCGGGUUGUAAAGCACUUUCAGUUGGGAAGAGAAUCUAUUAGUGAAUACCUAAUAGAGGAGACGUUACUAACAAAAGAAGCACCGGCUAACUCUGUGCCAGCAGCCGCGGUAAUACAGAGGGUGCGAGCGUUAAUCGGAAUUACUGGGCGUAAAGUGUGCGCAGGCGGCUUCGCAAGUCGAGUGUGAAAUCCCCGGGCUUAACUUGGGAACGGCGCUCGAAACUACGGAGCUAGAGUAUGGCAGAGGGAGGUGGAAUUCCACGUGUAGCGGUGAAAUGCGUAGAGAUGUGGAGGAACACCAAUGGCGAAGGCAGCCUCCUGGGCCAAUACUGACGCUCAUGCACGAAAGCGUGGGGAGCAAACAGGAUUAGAUACCCACGUAGUCCCUGAGCGGGCUGGCAAGGCGCAU